ACCUGCAUCCCAAAUAAAACCCAAGCUACUUGAAAUUAUAUGGGUUUUUGACAGAUACUAGUUAAUGUUCAUGAAAGAAUUGUGCUCUCUUGAGAAUGAGGGUAUAAUGGACAUUUAGCUUCUUCUUUGUUAUUCUUUUCUUUUUUUAAGCCCACUUACAACAGCUCAUCUGUUAGUAAUUAAUUUUCUCUGUCACAGACUUGAUGAACAACAUUUUCCUCUGAAAUGUUCAUCCUUUUGUGGCUUACAUGUUAACUCUUAAGCAAAAAUAAAUAAACAUAUGAAUAAAUCACCUAUAAUUAUUUAUUGAAAGAAAUCCCAAAAGAAAUCUAAUUGACGUUCUUUUUCUUUCCUAAUCUAUGCCACAGCUAAAACUUCUCUCAUGUUUGCUUGAUUUUUCUAACAACCUCAUUGCCCUUCUCUGGACUCAGGGUUGUUUUCCAAGCCCUUUUGCCCCUGUAGUAACCUUUUGACUGGCAGAUCCCUCGUUUACAGGCUGAGGAAAAUCAAACAGCUUGUCAGUUCAGUUGAGAGAUUCAGCUGGGGAAUAAAUGAAGCUCAAAUCUCAGGUACUUUUAGAUUCACAAUUCAAGCUGCUCGUUAGGUAGGGUUUGUUAGUUGUUGUUGUUGUUUUUGUUGUGUUUUGUUUUAAUAUAAAAUGUUGGAAGUGUUAAUUACUGCUUUCUCAGCGGCUGUGUGUGCACCCAUCUCUUGCAGUCACAUCAUUUGUCCUUCCCAGUUGUCUGCUCUGUGCUCUGGCUGCAGUGGUGCAGGGAAGCUUGAAAGGAAAGCAUGAUGAAGAUUGGACUUAAGGUGGUUUUAGACGCAGCUGGACAUUCUGACUAUAGACUUUGAUUGCUCACCAUCUCUGAUGCUAGGUAAAUGCAUUCUGGAACUGGAACUUUAUAAAAGGCAGUUUCUGUAUGGCAGUCUGAUUUGUGGCAUGCCCCACCUGGAAGACCCAGAACAUUCCAAAUGUACGUUUAAAGCGGAAUACAUUUUUCUACUGAAUAUUAAAAAGCAACAUUAAUCAUUCAGCAGUAAGGAGAAAAGCUACAGCUGGUAUAAACAGGCUUCGUUGACUUCCACAAAGCGAUGAUAAUUUAUGACAUGAGAAGAUCAUGCAGUAAAUAGCCAAUUAAAUCUAAAUGAAAUGUAUAGUUAAUUGCACGUGGCAUAUGAUUUAUGGUGCUAUUUGUUCUAGGAAUUUCUUGACAAGAUACCAUUACUAUUUGGCAAAAGAUCUGAAAGUUUUUGUUGGAAAUUUGGUUCCAUUUUAACUGUAGCCCAUAGAUGUCUAUAUAAAGUAAUAGCAACAAAUCUGUUAGUGUUCUUGCUUAAUCUGUAUUGAAUAUAAAAUAUUUAUUGCAUUUUUGUUUUAUUGUCAGAAAACAGUGAAG
rnacentral:lncRNA from 1 species